rnacentral:misc_RNA from 1 species
AACAGAAUAAACCAUUCAUUCAUAAGAGAACAAAUGUACAUCAUAAAGACUCUGGGCCCUUAGCCCUCUAAGCCAUAGUCCUGCUCCUGCAUACUUUACCGAGCCCUAGUCUAUACAAAGAUUGGUAGAAAGCCUAACUAUCAAAACAGUAGCCAGGUCGAAAACCUUAAAGUCAUAAAGCACAUCUUCCAAAAGACCCAUCUUCCCCUCACCAUAGCAAAAGAAACCAGCUUACAAAGGGAACCAUAGAUCAUUUGGCAACGUAGACUGUUGGGAUUUCACCACAAAUAAACAUGCAUCCACUCAAUAUAAAUAAUAAAGUCGCAGAGCAAAGAAACCAAAGGUAGAGUAUCAAGGCAAAGAGUAGUGUCGGCCAAAGGAGCAACGAACCCAAGAGAUGUCGAACGAGCCGGCAACAGACGUGGCGGAGCUCUGGCGUCACAAUCUCAUCUAGCCAGGACGGUCACCCGUCCUUUGAGGGUACCAACCAACAAAGUCAAGCCAUAGAUAUGGCUAUUGCAGAUUCACCCAUCUCAAAUCUUUAAAGAAUCCCUCACAAGGAAGCACAAGAUCUAGUCUUCAUCUAACAAAACCUGAUACGGCUAAAUCCCCAACCAAGGAGGGGGAACUGAACUCCACAAU